UAAGACGAACCGUGCAAACGUUGUUCGGAUUCACUGGGCUUAAAGGGUGCGUAGGCGGGUGAUCAAGUCAGGGGUGAAAUCCUCCCGCUUAACGGGAGAAGUGCCUUUGAUACUGGUCGUCUUGAGGGAGGUAGGGGCAUGUGGAACUUCCGGUGGAGCGGUGAAAUGCGUAGAUAUCGGAAGGAACGCCGGUGGCGAAAGCGACGUGCUGGAUCUCUUCUGACGCUGAGGCACGAAAGCCAGGGUAGCGAACGGGAUUAGAUACCCCGGUAGUCCUGGCCCUAAACGAUGGGUACUAGAUUGUGGGCUUGACAUGGGUUCACAGUCGAAGCAAAAGUGUUAAGUACCCCGCCUGGGGAGUAUGGUCGCAAGGCUG
rnacentral:rRNA from 1 species